GUGUGUGUUAGAGUACUGGAAAUGAGUGAAUAAAACUUUAAAAAGAUUCGAAAGUUUUUCUUUUCAACUUUUGAUAUGGUUGGUUAUUGCUAUAGUUAUAAAUAUACAUAGUAUAUUUGGAAGCAAAGUAAAAAGCAAAGUUUAAAAGAAAGUUAUUACAAUGCGUAUCAUUUUUAUCACAGUUCUUUUUGCAUCGAUAAUGUUAUUGGAGGCUAUAUUAACAGGAACUGACCCUAAACAGGGGUUUGAAGUGAAAUACGGUUGCUAUAAAUCAUACUGCUGGUCAUAUUGUUAUUAUCUUGAACCGAUGUGGUGUUGGACUAGUAAGUCAGCUUAUGAUGGAAAAAAAUCAUGUACGAAAGAUGAGCACUGUAAUGGUUAUUUCUACAAGUGUGUAUCAGCGUGUGGUUUCUAACACAUAUAAUUUUGAAUUAUUUUUCCUUUUUUUGCCUUUUAUUAAAAUCUUUUAAGCUUUUGCGAGACAUUAUUAAUCUGCUGACUUUGAUUUUUAAAAUUUUUAAUUAUUUUGUAUAAAAUUGUAAUUUUUUUGAAAAUACAAAUUUUUGUAUUUGA